CCUACGGGAGGCAGCAGUAGGGAAUCUUUCACAAUGGGCGAAAGCCUGAUGGAGCAACGCCGCGUGCGGGAUGAAGGUCUUCGGGUUGUAAACUGCUUUUAUAAGCGAGAAAUAUGAUGGUAACUUACGAAUAAGGAUUGGCUAACAACUUGCCAGAAGACGCAGUCAUACGUCGGAGCAGAGCAUUAUCCGGAGUGUCUGGGGGUAAAGAGUUGCGGAGGUGGCAUAGUAAGUAGCAAGUGAAAUGUGGUGGCUCAACCAUUCAGACUAUUAGCUAAACUGCUAAGCUCGAGACCGGUAGGGGUAACUGGAAUUUCUAGUGUAGCGGUGAAAUCCGUAGAUAUUAGAAGGAACACCGAUAGCGUAGGCAGGUUACUGGGACGGUUCUGACACUAAGGCACGAAAGCGUAGGGAGCAAACGGGAUUAGAUACCCGUGUAGUC
rnacentral:rRNA from 1 species